GGUAAUUUCUCCCUCCUAUUUCCAAAAAUUUCCCAAAUACACCUUAACCCAGCUACUUGGACUCCUUCAAGGAUUCUCAAAUACCCUAGUUUGCUACAGCUGUCUCUCUCCUAAUACACCUUGACCCAGCUAGUUGGGACUCCUCUCCACGCCUUCGAUGCCUUAACGGCGGGGAUAUACCGGAAAUAUCCCUCGCCGACAACCUGAUAGCUCUUCGGAAUGGAAAGCGGCAGAGAUUUGAUUUCUCUUAGGUCGACGAUGGAUUUUGUUUUUUUCUUUCUUAGUAAAAUAUGGGUACUAACAUUGUGUUUGUUUUAAAUCGGAGUAAAUUCGUCAAAACGGAGCAGAGAAGAGAUUAGGCAAAAACGUCUUCUGGAUAAGAUUUUUCUAGAGCUUCAAACCCUAACUAUUUUGCGGCAUUUAACAGAUUUGAGAGUACAACUAUACCAUCAGAGACAUUUCAUUUUUGAAUUUGUGAGAUUCUUCAAGUUAUAAACGAGGGGAUGCCUAGAUGGGAUGAGUUUAAUGUAAGCAAAUCCAUCAGUAAAUUGAAGGUGGACAUGAUGAGUUCAUAAAUGAAGCAGGUAUGGCAGCUGCAACUGAAGAUAAAGAAACUCACUCAUAUGAAAUAGACCCUGCUCAGGUACAUGAAUGUGGAAAUUCUUCUGGGGUAAAUUUAUUAGACAAAGUGACUACAUUACAAUUAUUCUUGUAUACCAAUUAGACUUUCAUUUCGGAUAGAUUUUAUUUUAUUUAUGUAUUUUAAUUUAUGGAGUUUCUAAUGAAAUAUUAUCACAAAUAUAGUAUUAACUUUUUAGAAUUAUAUGAUCAUGGAUGAUAUUUUUUAGGACUGUUUUGGUUGUUUUAA